AUGGCUUCAACCCUUUGUCGCCGUUGGACAUCCUUCCUCUACCGCUACAAGAACAAGCGAACAUCGACGCUAGUGCAAGCCACCUACCUCAAGAAGAUGCAUGAAGAAACACGUUCCACGAUCAAGCGUCAAGUACACCGCCUCGCCUCCAAGCUCAACAUCAACAAGUCACCGAUGGUGUUCCAACCGGGCGAUCUAGUAUGGUCGCAUCUCCGCAAGGAGCGCAAGUCCAAGCUACUUCCGAGAGCCGAUGGACCAUUCAAGGUGCUCGCACGCUACAACGACAACGCCUACAAGAUCGACAUUCCACGUGACAAAUACAACGUAAGCGACAGCUUCAACGUCAAAGACUUAGCCAAGUACCAUGGUGAUGAAGAUCACGAUCCGUGGACGGAUCUCUCCCAAGGGGGGGGGGGGAUGAUGUGA
rnacentral:rRNA from 1 species